CCUCCUGACACACCCACCCACCUCCCUCGACUUCGAUCUAGAUCGGGAAGCCCCGGCCGCCCGCCUCUUCCUCUCCCUCCCGACCACGGCGAGCCCCCUUCCCCCUCCCUCACACCAGAUCCAGGGUAUGGAGCCGUGUUGAGCUCCUUCCCCAACCCUCCUCACCGGAUCCAGAGGAGAGCUGGUGACCACGUCCUCCGGUGAGGGCGUUGCUCCGGGGUGUGGAGGCCGCCGAGCUACAUGAGGAGGAGCUCCCCGCCACCCCAAGGCCCCAGAUCCAGCCGCCACGGCCAUAGCCGUGGUCGGGCUGCGGCAACCAGUAGAGGAACGCCACCUUCUCCACCACGAAGCACACCUCCUUCCACCCCUCGCCGCUGUGUCCAACCUGAAUCCAGCAGCAGCACGGGAUCCCCUCCAAAUCUGAGGAGCAUCUGACGCACGCGUGAGUGCCUUGUCUUCUUCCUCCUCCUCUGCUGCUGCUUCUUCUUCUUCUUCCCCUGAUCUGAUGCGUUCGUGCGUGCGUGUGGUUGUGUGCAGGCAAUGCAGUUGAAGGAAGGGGGCGGGCCAUGAAGAAGCUGCUCCGACACUGACCAGGUAGAUUGGUCUCACACGGCCAGGCCCGCCAGAGGAGCCUCUCCAGCGAUGGGGAUCCAACAAGGAAGGAUUCCUUCCGCCUGCAACUAUACAGCCAGGCCACAUGAACUGCAAGACAACGAGUUCAUCUGCGGCAGCUAUCGCUGUGAGCAGUCCGUCCGCGACGCGCUCUGCAGCGUCUUCGCCGGGCACAACGAGAUCCUCAACGUCUGGAAGUAAGUCGCCGGCCAUCUGUUUCCUGAUGAAUUUUCUUUCUAGCUCAAUGUGAUCGGAUCUGACUAGUACAUUCAGAUUUGCUCUUGUUUUCUUUUCAAAUAGUACUAGUAGUCUAUAUUCCAGCUGUGCGACUACCUAUAGCCACUUGAACCGAUGAGAAUUCUUCAAGCCUACCUAUAGCCACUUGAACAGAUGUCUAUCUCAGAUCUGCUCAUCUAAAAAAUCCAAGUGCAGUAGUAUACUAGUAGUAUAGUAUAAUAAUAUUAUCAAAAGGUAAAUGCCCUGAUUAUUUAGCUCUGUCAGAUAAAUACUCGUCGAAAGUGGGCUCCUAUCAAAAUUCAUUUCCAUUAGAAUCUUACUCAUACAAUAUUCACACCAUGUAAUUCUGGAAAUAUAUGCUCAUAUCUAGUUCUGCAUAAAAAAUGACAGUAUUGACAUGUUAUAAAUAGUUUGUUUGUCUUUCUGUUUUUUUGUUACAUUUUGCAGGGAUAAAGUGAAGAAAAAGAAGAAAAGAUUAGUUUUAGGAUUUUCUUUUAUUUCCUUGCAAUUUUCCUUUUUAUUGGAUACUUGUAAAGACAUUGUAAUAUUCUUACUAUAAUAAAAAUUAUGAUUCUAUUUCA